rfam:Heligmosomoides polygyrus genome assembly, scaffold: HPBE_scaffold0006039
GCGCCGGUGGUGUAAGGCGAACAUCGCUGCCCGGAAAGCAGAAGAUGUGGGUUCAAGUCCCGCCUGGCGCA